rnacentral:rRNA from 1 species
AUUGAACGCUGGCGGCAGGCCUAACACAUGCAAGUCGAGCGGAUGAAGGGAGCUUGCGCCUGGAUUCAGCGGCGGACGGGGGAGUAAUGCAUAGGAAUCUGCCUGGUAGUGGGGGAUAACGUCCGGAAACGGGCGCGAAUACUACAUACGUGCAGAGGGAGAAAGAGGGGGAGCUUCGGACCUCACGCUAUCAGAUGAGCCUAGGUCGGGUUAGCUAGUUGGUGGGGUAAAGGCCUACCAAGGCGACGAUCCGUAACUGGUCUGAGAGGCUGAUCAGUCACACUGGAGCUGAGACACGGUCCUGACUCCUACGGGAGGCAGCAGUGGGGAAUAUUGGACAAUGGGCGAAAGCCUGGUCCAGCCAUGCCGCGUGUGUGAAGAAGGUCUUCGGAUUGUAAAGCACUUUAAGUUGGGAGGAAGGGCAGUAAGUUAAUACCUUGCUGUUUUGACGUUACCAACAGAAUAAGCACCGGCUAACUUCGUG